rnacentral:rRNA from 1 species
UACGUAGGGGGCAAGCGUUGUCCGGAAUCAUUGGGCGUAAAGGGCGCGUAGGCGGCCCGCUAAGUCGAACGUGAAAUCCCCAGGCUCAACCUGGGAACUGCGUCCGAUACUGGCAGGCUUGAAUCCGGGAGAGGGAUGUGGAAUUCCAGGUGUAGCGGUGAAAUGCGUAGAUAUCUGGAGGAACACCGGUGGCGAAGGCGGCAUCCUGGACCGGUAUUGACGCUGAGGCGCGAAAGCUAGGGGAGCAAACAGG